UGCUGGAGGUAUCAGAAGUGCGAAUGCUGACAUAAGUAACGAUAAAGCGGGUGAAAAGCCCGCUCGCCGGAAGACCAAGGGUUCCUGUCCAACGUUAAUCGGGGCAGGGUGAGUCGACCCCUAAGGCGAGGCCGAAAGGCGUAGUCGAUGGGAAACAGGUUAAUAUUCCUGUACUUGGUGUUACUGCGAAGGGGGGACGGAGAAGGCUAUGUUAGCCGGGCGACGGUUGUCCCGGUUUAAGCAUGUAGGCUGAUUAUCCAGGCAAAUCCGGAUAAUCAAGGCUGAGGUGUGAUGACGAGGCACUACGGUGCUGAAGUAACAAAUGCCCUGCUUCCAGGAAAAGCCUCUAAGCAUCAGGUAACAUCAAAUCGUACCCCAAACCGACACAGGUGGUCAGGUAGAGAAUACCAAGGCGCUUGAGAGAACUCGGGUGAAGGAACUAGGCAAAAUGGUGCCGUAACUUCGGGAGAAGGCACGCUGGUGUGUAGGUGAAG
rnacentral:rRNA from 1 species